rnacentral:rRNA from 1 species
GACAGAGGGUGCAAGCGUUGUUCGGAAUUACUGGGCGUAAAGCGCGUGUAGGCUGCUCCGAAAGUCGGAUGUGAAAGCCCUGGGCUCAACCUAGGAAGUGCACUCGAAACUGCGGAGCUGGAGUCCUGGAGAGGAAGGCGGAAUUCUCGGUGUAGAGGUGAAAUUCGUAGAUAUCGAGAGGAACACCGGCGGCGAAGGCGGCCUUCUGGACAGUGACUGACGCUGAGACGCGAAAGCGUGGGGAGCAAACAGG